rnacentral:tRNA from 1 species
ACAUUGGUGGUUCGGUGAUAGAAUUUUUGUUUUCCGCACAGGAGACCCAGCUUUGAUUCCUGGCCAAUGCA